rnacentral:lncRNA from 1 species
UCAUAGCUUCUCUACGUAGAUAUCAAAAACAAUCUUACCUCCUGUAAGCCUUAAAGGGAACCAUCCAUUCCUGGCUCUGUUUUAAUUCAUAGACCACAGGAACUACUCCUCCUUCUUAUCAUGACAGGGUUAAGUUCCUUCCAAUCCUAGAGGCCCAUUGAAUUCAUGAGUCCUUUUCCCUGAUACCCUCCUCCCACAUCCAAAGCUAGAAGUCAUCUCCUCCUCCUCUGACUUUUCACAGCACUUUAUCUGCAUUUCCUUUCUGGUCCUUUUAUCUUUAAAAAUCUCAUAUGUACAUAUCUUAUUUACCCUCAUAGAGUCUACAUCUCUGAGGACAGGAGCAGAGUAUGGUUCAUUUCUGAGUCAUCCAGAAGGCCUGGACCUUGCCUGCUACAAAAAAAUCAAGGGCUAUACCUACUGGCUUACUUCUGAUUGCUUUGCCACUUACUAGUCGUGUCAUCUUCUUCAAUAUGUCUUUGUUCAAUGACUGAACGACUGAAUGAACACAUGACGAGAAAGAGACUUUUGAACCUGUGGAGUCCAGAGGCUGUGAAAUGCAGAGAUGUGCAACCCCAGGACAAGUGGCUCAGACCAUUUAUCUAUCAGAGGAUUCAUGGAAAGGACUCAGUGUUUACCAGGAUACUUCCAAGGUGCCCUAUCCGUAUAGAGUGGAACUUUAAAACCGGAGAAAAAGUCCAACGAAAUAAGUCAAGUGGAAUAUGUUGUCUUCUACCAUAUUUAGGCAGAGAUCUUGACUAAUUAAUCUUCAAAGAAGUGAAAAUAAUCUACUCUUGAACUUAAUUAUGCAAAUAAAACAAUUCUAAUUUCGGAAAUGGCUAGAGAU